GACGAACGCUGGCGGCGUGCUUAACACAUGCAAGUCGAACGGAAAGGCCCUGCUUUUGUGGGGUGCUCGAGUGGCGAACGGGUGAGUAACACGUGAGUAACCUGCCCUUGACUUUGGGAUAACUUCAGGAAACUGGGGCUAAUACCGGAUAGGAGCUCCUGCUGCAUGGUGGGGGUUGGAAAGUUUCGGCGGUUGGGGAUGGACUCGCCGCUUAUCAGCUUGUUUGUGGGGUAGUGGCUUACCAAGGCUUUGACGGGUAGCCGGCCUGAGAGGGUGACCGGCCACAUUGGGACUGAGAUACGGCCCAGACUCCUACGGGAGGCAGCAGUGGGGAAUAUUGCACAAUGGGCGGAAGCGUGAUGCAGAAACGCCGCGUGCGGGAUGACGGCCUUCGGGUUGUAAACCGCUUUCGCCUGUGACGAAGCGUGAGUGACGGUAAUGGGUAAAGAAGCACCGGCUAACUACGUG
rnacentral:rRNA from 1 species